rnacentral:rRNA from 1 species
CAGUCGCCGCGGUAAUACCGAGGGUGCGAGCGUUAAUCGGAUUUACUGGGCGUAAAGCGUGCGUAGGCGGCUUCUUAAGUCGGAUGUGAAAUCCCUGAGCUUAACUUAGGAAUUGCAUUCGAUACUGGGAAGCUAGAGUAUGGGAGAGGAUGGUAGAAUUCCAGGUGUAGCGGUGAAAUGCGUAGAGAUCUGGAGGAAUACCGAUGGCGAAGGCAGCCAUCUGGCCUAAUACUGACGCUGAGGUACGAAAGCAUGGGGAGCAAACAGGAUUAGAUACCCGAGUAGUCACUGUCUCUUAUAA